rnacentral:rRNA from 1 species
AGGACGAACGCUGGCGGCGUGCUUAACACAUGCAAGUCGAACGGUAAGGCCCCUUCGGGGUACACGAGUGGCGAACGGGUGAGUAACACGUGAGCAACCUGCCCUUGACUCUGGAAUAACAGCUGGAAACAGCUGCUAAUACCGGAUACGACGCGCCUCGACAUCGAGGAACGUGGAAAGCUCCGGCGGUCAAGGAUGGGCUCGCGGCCUAUCAGCUAGUUGGUGAGGUAACGGCUCACCAAGGCUUCGAC